rnacentral:lncRNA from 1 species
AGGAAAAACAUUGCCAUUUUUAUUAUUUUUAAACUGUACAAAUAAAUGAAAAACAGGGAACACCGCUUUUACUACAAAAACAUCCAUUUAUUAAUGAUGCAAAAUGUUGCAAAAUGAAACACAUGAGGUGACCCUUACAAUGAACCAUUACGUUUCGGGCAAAACGUAUGGCUUUCAUGCAAACAGAAUUGAAAAACAGGAAAUAUUACUCUUCACGUAGAGUGACAGUGAUGAUCUUUUCGGCCUUCCAGUUUCCUGGUACGCAC